AGGAGAGCGGCGUUAAGAAGGGUUAGCCGCUUCGUGCAGUGAUGCAGCAGCCUACACCAAAGAAACCUUGAUCGCACCGCAGGACACGACCGGCUGUGGGAUCCCUGGGCGGAAAACAGUGAUGUUGCAUGACAUGCCUCGAAAUAAAUUCUGAAUGAUUGAAGACUGCGGGUGGAGCGGUGACAACAUGGCAGAUAGAAGGCAACUGUUUGUCGAGAUGAGGGCUCAUGAUUUGGACUCCAUACGAUUAUCGACAUACAGAACAGCCUGCAAACUCAGAUUUGUGCAGAAGAAAUGUAAUUUGCAUUUGGUUGACAUCUGGAAUGUCAUUGAGGCUUUCCGAGAAUGCGGCCUCAACACCAUGGACCUCAAUGCUGAGCUCACAGUGGCUCGUCUAGAAGUGGUACUGUCCACUAUUUUUUACCAGCUGAACAAGCGCAUGCCCACCACCCACCAGAUCCACGUGGAACAGUCCAUCAGCCUGCUGCUCAACUUCCUGCUGGCAGCCUACGACCCGGAGGGCCAUGGCAAGAUAUCUGUCUUUGUUGGGAAGACGGCCCUGGCGACCAUCUGUGGAGGGAAGAUUCUGGAUAAAUUAAGAUAUAUUUUUUCACUGAUAUCAGAUUCCUCUGGGAUAAUGGUGUACUCACAGUUUGACCAGUUUCUGAGGGAGGUUCUCAAAUUACCUAUGUCGGUUUUCGAGGGACCUUCUUUUGGUUACACUGAACAAGCUGCAAGAACCUGCUUUGCACAGCAGAAAAAGGUCUCCCUCAACACAUUCCUUGAUACGGUGAUGUCAGACCCGCCCCCUCAGUGUCUGGUGUGGUUACCACUCAUGCAUCGGCUCGCUAACGUGGAGAACGUCUUUCACCCGGUCGAGUGCUCCUACUGCCAUACUGAGAGUAUGAUGGGCUUCCGCUACCGCUGCCAGCAAUGUCAUAAUUACCAGCUCUGUCAGGACUGCUUCUGGAGGGGGCAUGCCAGCGAUUCCCAUAGCAACCAGCACCAAAUGAAGGAGUAUACGUCAUGGAAAUCCCCUGCUAAGAAAUUAUCCCAUGCACUCGGUAAGUCCCUGAGCUGUGCAUCCAGCAGAGAGCCUCUUCACCCCAUGCUUUCCGAGAUACCAGAGAAACCUCUGAACCUAGCUCAUAUUGUGCCACCAAGACCGGUGAAUAUCACCAAUGAAUACUCACUCUCCCACUCCAUGCCUACGUCAGGGAACCCUUACUCCACCAAAAAGUUAAACUACAACCUUGAUGUUGCUGAUAGACUUGCUGACGAACAUGUUCUGAUUGGCCUCUAUGUGAAUCUGCUCCAAAACAACCCCAAAACAUGUUUGCUGGAGAGCAGUAACCAUCAAGAUGAAGAGCACAGUCUCAUCGCCCGCUAUGCUGCUAGACUGGCUGCUGAUGCUGCGGCUCAGCAGCAGAGGGUCCCCACAGACCUCCCGUGCUCUCUGGAUGCCAACAAACAGCAGAGGCAGCUCAUUGCUGAGCUUGAGAGCAAAAACAGAGAAAUCCUGCAGGAAAUCCAGCGACUGCGCCUUCAACAUGAGGAGGCCUCCCAGCCGCCACCUGACAAGGGUCAGCAGAACCCCACUCUGCUGGCUGAGUUACGACUUCUCAGGCAACGCAAAGAUGAACUUGAACAAAGAAUGUCUACUCUGCAAGAGAGUCGCAGGGAACUGAUGGUGCAGCUGGAGCAACUAAUGAUGCUUCUCAAGACUCAGGGUCCCGGCUCUCCGCGCUCUUCCCCCAGUCACACCAUCAACCGGUCAAUCCCCACACCGAUCCACUCAGAUUCUGCCGGCACGACUCCGACUCACACACCUCAGGACUCACUCAUGGGCGUGGGAGGGGAUGUUCAGGAGGCCUUCGCUCAGGGGCCGAGGAGAAAUUUGAGAAAUGACCUGCUCAUUGCUGCUGACUCCAUCACCAACACAAUGUCAUCACUGGUUAAAGAACUAAAUUCAGAGGGUGGAAGUGAGACUGAGAGCACUGUGGAUUCAGACUUUGGGCGUGGUGAAGUGUUGGCCACAACCUCUUCAGACCCCUUCUUCCCUUAUAAACCAAGGACUACUAGCGCUGCAGAGGAAGAGAGCUAUGAGAAUGAUCUGGAGCAGCAGCUGGAGGACGAGCUCAAGUUGGAGGAGCUUAUGAAGCACAGGCAGGAACCAGACAAAGCGUGCAUGGUGAGUUUUAGCAUUUCUAAGACUGGGGUGAAGUCACAGUAGAAAGCUGCAUAUUGUGCAUAUUGCACAUCUGCAUAGUGUGAUUUGAAUCUUGAAACUGUUCCCAGUCAAUUCUGCUCUAACAAUCUGCUGUGUGUGUUUUGGUGAUGUUCAUACUGUCGUACAGGUGACACUGCAGCAGUGACUGUGGUAGUCCAGGUAACUGGCGAGCAAUAUGAAAAACAACAAUAGUAGAAGACACUGGACAAGACAACACUGGGCAGACGGUACGGAACACUGAAGAAAUGAAGAAUUUAAGUUGAAAGAAAAAUAAUUGCUAAAUCCAACCAUAGAAUACAUUUAGGUAAAGAUAUAUUUUUUAACCAACCACAUAUUUAAGGUAAUACUGUGAGCUGAUGUAAAGAGAUUAAUUACUGAGCUGUCUAUUAUACCACAGGUGCCAUAAAAACCACAUGAUUUUGAGGAAUUCUUUUUUUAAUUUGUGUCCUUUUUAUAUGAGUGGUCAAGCAGAUGUACAACUUCACUGUUAGUACAGGGAUGGCAAAACCAGAUUCUUUCAAAUUCUCAUGUUUCUGAAUACAGUAAACCAGGUUUAAGUGUUUGUUUGUCAUCUGAUUUAUGAUAUAAACCUGAGAUUAUGUUGGAGUUAAAGUUAUAGAUGAUCAAAUUUGCAAUAUUUUGUAAAUGUAUAACUCUGGCCUGGUUACUAUGAACAGAUUUUACCACUAUUCCAUAGAUUUCUUACUGUUGCUGUUGAGUGGAUUUUGUAUUGUUUUUGGACUUUUUGGAGCAGGCUGACUGCUAUUUAUCAGAUAGGUUUGUUUUAUUUGAUACAUUAGUAAUAACAAUGCGCACUGCCUUACCUGAUUGGAUGACCUCUUGAUGGAGUUCCUUCAACCUGUCAAAGCAGCAUGUAGCUAACAACAAAACACACCUGUUCAGCAGCAAUGGGAGUUGUUGUCACUGGACAGAUGAGGUUAAACUCCUUUAAUCUGAUGCUUGGAAGUGAUAUUGUCUGCAGAGGGAUUUAGUCUGCAAAUAUGUACACUGUCUACAUAUAAACUGUCAGCUAAAUCUAAGAUGUAGUUAAAUUGGUUUCUGAUAAUGUCUGAAAGUGUUUUUAAUUACAGUGGAAAUUGUGUAAAAUAAAAUUAGCACAUUAAAGACGUGUGAGACUUCCAAAUUGUUCAAAUUCAAAGGUUUACACUGGUAAGGGCAUUGAAGAACUUGUUUACUAUCAAUGGUUUAUGAAUUAAUGUUUGAUCAUUUGCCAUUGUUUCAUUUGUUGGCAUCAAUGCUCUCACAAAGAAUCUCUGUGUAACUUGCCCACCAACGCACACACACUCUCUUGAUGUAUUUUCUCUGAGUGUGUGUUUAAACUUUAUGGAGUCACUUUGGGGGGAAAAGUGGCAAGCCAAUCUAAAAUAAUACAUGUGUGAAAUAUAUCUAGUUUGAUUUUUGAGCAAGUUCAUAGCAGUGAUUUUUGCAUGGUGGUGAUCCAUAAUAAAGUGUUGACACAAUA